rnacentral:lncRNA from 1 species
GAUGUCUCCCGUGCUGACUUCUAGCCCUACCUCUCUAUGAUCAUUGAGUCCUAUUCUUGCUUCGAGGAUGUUCGCAAUCACAGUUCCAAGAAGAUCACCGACCUCCUCCUCUCGAUGGUGCCACAUCCUUCCACUCCUCCUUUGACUACUUUCGCUCCUUGAUGGCCUCGACGACUCCACGAUCAAGAUGCUCCCUCUCCCCCCUACUCCAAGUCCAAGGCCAAGCAAAUAGCCACCACCAAUCGAGACUAUGCUGUUUGUCUCUGCACGCUGCCCCUCUCUUCCCAUGCCUUUCACAUUGACUGUAUCUAUGUCGGACUCUGAUUCUAUGGUUGAAUUUUACAUAUUUUGCAUGGAGAUUUUAAAAUAAUUUUGAAUACAAACAGUGAAAGACAAGAUUAAAUCAGAUUUAAUC